GAUGAACGCUGGCGGUAUGCUUAACACAUGCAAGUCGUACGAAGAUCUUUGAUCUUAGUGGCGGACGGGUGAGUAACACGUGAGAAUCUGCCCUUAGGAAGAGGAUAACAGCUGGAAACGGUUGCUAAUACUCUAUACGCCGAGAGGUAAAAGGAUUUAUCCACCUUAGGAGGAGCUCGCGUCUGAUUAGCUUGUUGGUAAGGUAAUGGCUUACCAAGGCGACGAUCAGUAGCNGGUUUGAGAGGACGACCAGCCACACUGGGACUGAGACACGGCCCAGACUCCUACGGGAGGCAGCAGUGGGGAAUUUUCCGCAAUGGGCGCAAGCCUGAUCUAGCCAUGCCGCGUGAGCGAUGAAGGCCUUAGGGUUGUAAAGCUCUUUUACCAGGGAUGAUAAUGACAGUACCUGGAGAAUAAGCUCCGGCUAACUCCGUG
rnacentral:rRNA from 1 species